UUUGCUUGAAAAUUAAAGAAGAUGGCGGUAUUUUAGUCUAUUCAGAGGAACCUGUCCUAUAAUCGAUGAUCCACGAUUUAUUAUACUUAUUUUAUAAGUUUGCAUAUCGCCGUAGAUUGAAUGUCCUUGAAGGGAUUUAAACAUUCAAGAGGUUUUUAUUUGUGAAAUUAAAUCAGGUCAAGAUGUAGCUAAUAAAUAAGAAGAGAUGGGUUACAAUAAAUUUAUUUAUAACGGAUUAAUAUAUGAAAUUUAUUAUAAAGGUGGAUUUGAGGGUAAUUUUUAUAUAAAUUUAUAAAAUGAUUUUAGCUCUAAAAUAUGUA
rnacentral:rRNA from 1 species